rnacentral:tRNA from 1 species
AUGGGUGUGCUGGAAUUGGUAGACAGGUUCCGUUUAGGCCGGAAUGGUGGUAAAAGACCAUGCAAGUUCAAGUCUUGUUGCCCAUA